rnacentral:rRNA from 1 species
UGGGGAAUUUUGGACAAUGGGGGAAACCCUGAUCCAGCCAUCCCGCGUGUGCGAUGAAGGCCUUCGGGUUGUAAAGCACUUUUGGCAGGAAAGAAACGUCAUGGGUUAAUACCCCGUGAAACUGACGGUACCUGCAGAAUAAGCACCGGCUAACUACGUGCCAGCAGCCGCGGUAAUACGUAGGGUGCAAGCGUUAAUCGGAAUUACUGGGCGUAAUGCGUGCGCAGGCGGUUCGGAAAGAAAGAUGUGAAAUCCCAGAGCUCAACUUUGGAACUGCAUUUUUAACUACCGGGCUAGAGUGUGUCAGAGGGAGGUGGAAUUCCGCGUGUAGCAGUGAAAUGCGUAGAUAUGCGGAGGAACACCGAUGGCGAAGGCAGCCUCCUGGGAUAACACUGACGCUCAUGCACGAAAGCGUGGGGAGCAAACAGG